rnacentral:rRNA from 1 species
GUAGGUGAACCUGCGGAAGGAUCAUUGUCGAUGCCUGCCCCGACGGAGAGACCCGCGAACACGUUGCAUGGCCGUCGGGGGAAAGGGCGUCGGGGGGGGUGCGAGCCCCUUCCCCCCUUACCCCCGUCGGGUCGGUCCACGAGGGAUCGUGGCAUCCGACCGAACAACAAAACCACCGGCGCGGUCGGCGCCAAGGAACUCAAAACGGAAUGGGCGUUCCAUCACCGUGCCUCCGGCGUGGUGUGUGUCCGUCUUAAAUCCGAAACCCACGAACGACUCUCGGCAACGGAUAUCUCGGCUCUCGCAUCGAUGAAGAACGUAGCGAAAUGCGAUACUUGGUGUGAAUUGCAGAAUCCCGUGAACCAUCGAGUCUUUGAACGCAAGUUGCGCCCCAGGCCAUCGGGUCGAGGGCACGCCUGCCUGGGCGUCACGUAUCGUGUCGCCCCCCUCCCUCGUCCCCGUGGCGACGGAGCCCGGGUCGGAGAUUGGCCCCCCGUGUCGCCGUCUGGUGGCGCGGCCGGCCCAAAGACGAGUCCCCGUGUGGGGCGGGCGUCACGUCGGGUGGUGGUGGAAGCUGCUUUUGCCAUUUGUUCGGACGUCGUCUCGCUCCCGUCGGGCGGUAAACAGAACCCGAUCGCGCGUCGUCUCCGGAGACGACGCUUCCGACCGCGACCCCAGGUCAGGCGGGGCCACCCGCUGAG